rnacentral:rRNA from 2 species
GGGUUUGGUCCCGGCCCAGGACGAACGCUGGCGGCAUGCACUUGCCCCGACAAGUCGAGCGGGCUUCCCGGUGAUUGUGCCGGGAGGCUGAGCGGCGUACGGCGGAGUAACGCGUAGGCAAUCUGCCUCAAAGACCGGAAUAACCCUUCCCGAGAGGCUUGUAGAUUAUGCUUCCUCGUAGCGACCUGCCCGAAAGGGUAAGGCCUACGGCAAGGGAAAUAUAUCGAAGGUCACUUGGAAGGGGCUAAUGCCGGAUAAGCUCACACCUUUUCGAAGGUGCGAGAAAAAGGUAGCCACAAACCCAAGGCUUCUGCUUUGAGAUGGGCCUGCGUCCUAUCAGGUAGUUGGUGAGGUAACGGCCCACCAAGCCGAUGACGGGUAGCUGGCUCGAGAGGGUGGUCAGCCCGACCGGAACUGAGACAAGGUCCGGACCCGAAAGGGUUAGCGGGGUGGAAUCUCUCGCAAUGCGCGAAAGCGUGACGAUGCAAUGCCGCGUGAAGGAAGAAAGUUAGGAAAACCCUAAUCGUAAACUUCAGUCCGCGGGGAGUAAGCCCAGGGGGCCAAUAACCCCGGCUGGGUGAAAGUACCCGCGGUAAGAGCGCCGACAAACUGCGUGCCAGCAGUCGCGGUUAAACGUAGGGCGCAAGCGUUGUCCGGUAUUACUGGGCGUAAAGGGUACGUAGGCGGCUGGGCGUAUCGGCUGUGAAAGCCUCCCGCAAAACGGGAGGAGGUCAGCCGAGAUUAUCCUCCUAGAGCGCAGUGGAAGGAAGUGGAACUCCCGGUGGAGCGGUAAAAUGCGUUGAUAUCGGGAAGAACUCCAAUGGCGAAGGCAGCUUCCUAUACUGCAGGCUGACGCUGAUGAGGUACGAAAGCCAGGGGAGCGAUGCGGUUCGACACCCGCGUAGUCCUGGCUGUAAAAGUUGGGCACUAGCCCUGGGCAAUUACAUUGCCCGGGACGAAGCUAACGCGACAAGUGCCCCGCCUGGGGAGUACGGCCGCAAGGCUGAAAACCAAGGGACCUGUGGAGAUCUGCACAAUCGGCGGCGAGUGUGGUUUAAUGCGACUUCGAGCGCAGAACCUUACCAAGGCUACCUUCAGGAGCAAGCCGGCGGAAACGUUGGCCCUCUUGGGGGACGUUGUUUCCUGUGGGUCCUAAGUGGCACUUAGGACCCACAGGAAACAACGUCCCCUCCCUGGAGGCAGGUGUAUAUAGUCACCGUUAGCCCGUGCCGUGAGGUGUGGGGUUAGCUCCCCGUAACGGGCACAACCCCUUACCCUAUGUUGCCAUCGGAUAAUGCCGGGCACUCAUAGGGAACUGCCCGCGAGCGAAGUGGGAGGAAGAUGGGGACGACGGCGGAUCAGCAUGCGCCGGAUGCCUUGGGCUACACACACGCGACAGUGGCCGGUACAAAGGGGUCCGAACCCGCGAGGGGGAGGAAAUCCCAAAAAGCCGGUCGUGGUGCGGAUUGCAGUCUGAAACCCGACUGCAUGAAGAUGGAGCCGAUAGUAAUCGCAGAUCAGAAAGCUGCGGUGAAUACGUUCUCGGGUCU